UAGGGCUCAGCAUCACUCCAAGUUUCCCAGAGCGGCCCUUGGCUCAGCACUGCUCCCACAAUCAUGUGGGGGGAGUGUUGUGGCUUACUGAGGCUCCCUGGUCUUUCUGGGGCUCUCUGUUGCUCCCUGGAUGCUUAGUCCAUUUUUAAGACAUUCUGUUCUGAAGAAAACAUUUAAUGUCACUCUGUCAAAUCCUUUUGUGACAAAGACAGGAAACACUACAGAACAAAAAGCCAAACAAAAACACCCAGGAGGCAAAACGCAAGCUUCUAAAUGAUGUGUCUCAGAGGUAAUUUCUAUUAAUACAAAGGUAAGCUGACAGGUCUCUCGUGGAGAAGCACUUCCAGGUUGAUGAUGUCCUCCAUCAGCUGCUCAAAGGAACAUAAUUGCUCUUCUAACCUCUAGAGAGGGAUAAAUCUGUUCUUGUAAGACAGUGAAUUCUUUUUUUCCUUUUAAGUUUUUCCUGUUACAAAAGCAUUAUAUAUAUAUUCAUGGUAUUCUUUCUAAAUGUAAAACUGAUGCUUCCAUAUAAAACAUAAUGUUCAAUAAAG
rnacentral:lncRNA from 1 species